AUUGAACGCUGGCGGCAGGCCUAACACAUGCAAGUCGAACGAGUCGCGGACGUGUGAGUAAUGUCUGGGAAACUGCUCGUUGGGGGGGGAUAACUAUUGGAAACGGAAGCUAAUACCGCAUACCUUCGGCUGGGCCCAGAUGGGAUUGGCUAGUGGGUGGGGUAACGGCACACCUGGGCGACGAACCCUAGCUGGUCGGAGAGGAGGACGGGCCACACUGGAACUGGGAAACGGUCAGGACUCCUACGGGAGGCAGAAGUGGGGAAUAUUGGACAAUGGGGGAAAUCCGGAUGCAGCAAUGCGGGGUGUAUAAAGAAGGCCUUCGGGUUGUAAAGUACUUUGUGCGAGAAGGCGUUACUUGCAGAAGAAGCACCGGCUAACUCCGUGCCAGCAGCCGCGGUAAUUC
rnacentral:rRNA from 1 species